rnacentral:rRNA from 1 species
AUUGAACGCUGGCGGCAGGCUUAACACAUGCAAGUCGAGCGGGGGAGGUUGCUUCGGUAACUGACCUAGCGGCGGACGGGUGAGUAAUGCUUAGGAAUCUGCCUAUUAGUGGGGGACAACAUUCCGAAAGGAAUGCUAAUACUGCGUACGCCCUACGGGGGAAAGCAGGGGAUCUUCGGACCUUGCGCUAAUAGAUGAGCCUAAGUCGGAUUAGCUAGUUGGUGGGGUAAAGGCCUACCAAGGCGACGAUCUGUAGCGGGUCUGAGAGGAUGAUCCGCCACACUGGGACUGAGACACGGCCCAGACUCCUACGGGAGGCAGCAGUGGGGAAUAUUGGACAAUGGGCGGAAGCCUGAUCCAGCCAUGCCGCGUGUGUGAAGAAGGCCUUUUGGUUGUAAAGCACUUUAAGCGAGGAGGAGGCUCUUAAGGUUAAUACCCUUGAUGAGUGGACGUUACUCGCAGAAUAAGCACCGGCUAACUCUGUGCCAGCAGCCGCGGUAAAAC